UACAGAGGGGGCAAGCGUUGUUCGGAAUUACUGGGCGUAAAGGGCGCGUAGGCGGCCUGCUAAGUCGAACGUGAAAUCCCUGGGCUCAACCCAGGAACUGCGUCCGAUACUGGUUGGCUUGAAUCCGGGAGAGGGACGUGGAAUUCCAGGUGUAGCGGUGAAAUGCGUAGAUAUCUGGAGGAACACCGGUGGCGAAGGCGGCCCUCUGGACCGAAACUGACACUGAAGCGCGAAAGCUAGGGGAGCAAACGGG
rnacentral:rRNA from 1 species